AACGAACGCUGGCGGCAUGCUUAACACAUGCAAGUCGAACGAGACCUUCGGGUCUAGUGGCGCACGGGUGCGUAACGCGUGGGAAUCUGCCCUUAGGUACGGAAUAACUCAGAGAAAUUUGUGCUAAUACCGUAUGAUGUCGAAAGACCAAAGAUUUAUCGCCUAAGGAUGAGCCCGCGUAAGAUUAGCUUGUUGGUGAGGUAAAAGCUCACCAAGGCGACGAUCUUUAGCUGGUCUGAGAGGAUGAUCAGCCACACU
rnacentral:rRNA from 1 species